AACGAACGCUGGCGGCAGGCUUAACCACAUGCAAAGUCGAACGCCCCCGCAAGGGGAGUGGCAGACGGGGUGAGUAACGCGUGGGGAACGUGCCCUUCGUUUCAGGAUAGCCUCGGGAAACUGGGAGUAAUACUGAAUACGCCGUAUUGGGAAAGAUUUAUCGGCGAAGGAUCGGCCCGCGUUAGAUUAGGUAGUUGGCGGUGUAAUGGACCACCAAGCCUACGAUCUAUAGCUGGUCUGAGAGGAUGAUCAGCCACACUGGGACUGAGACACGGCCCAGACUCCUACGGGAGGCAGCAGUGGGGAAUCUUGGACAAUGGGCGCAAGCCUGAUCCAGCCAUGCCGCGUGAGUGAAGAAGGCCUUAGGGUUGUAAAACUCUUUCGCCGGAGAAGAUAAUGACGGUAUCCGGAGAAGAAGCCCCGGCUAACUUCGUGCCAGCAGCCGCGGUAAUACGAAGGGGGCUAGCGUUGUUCGGAAUUACUGGGCGUAAAGCGCACGUAGGCGGGUUUGUAAGUAGGGGGUGAAAUCCCAGGGCUCAACCCUGGAACUGCCUUCUAAACUGCAAGCCUGGAGGUCAGGAGAGGCGAGUGGAAUACCGAGUGUAGAGGUG
rnacentral:rRNA from 1 species